rnacentral:rRNA from 1 species
UACGAAGGGGGCUAGCGUUGCUCGGAAUCACUGGGCGUAAAGCGCACGUAGGCGGCUUCUUAAGUCAGGGGUGAAAUCCUGGAGCUCAACCGCGGAACUGCCCUUGAUACUGAGGAGCUUGAGUCCGGGAGAGGUGAGUGGAACUCCGAGUGUAGAGGUGAAAUUCGUAGAUAUUCGGAAGAACACCAGUGGCGAAGGCGGCUCACUGGCCCAGUACUGACGCUGAGGUGCGAAAGCGUGGGGAGCAAACAGG